ensembl:lncRNA
AGGUAGGUAGAAAACUAAUUAUAAAGAACUUUGACCUACUUAUUUCCAACAGAAAUGAUCAUCACAGUGAUAACGUGGCAAAAGAUAAGAGGAGUGAGCUUAGAAUGAAGUAGAAGAAUAAAGAUGCAAGACUAGGAGUGGAUGGCGAUGAGGAAGAAAGGAAUGCGCCGGGAUGGAAAGGAGCCACAACCAAGGAAGCUGCCUGUUAAGAUGAUUGAACCUAGGAUGGAAACAGCCUGGAUUUCUGAGUCUCCGUACGGAUGAUUGCUGGUCUGCAACACUUAUGAAAAUUGCACAGGACUUUCUUGCUGUUUUUACACAAGAGGCUUUUCCCUUUGGACUGACCAUUCAUCUUGAUGAGCCAUGCCUUGGCUUGUGGGAUCUUAGUUCCCUGAUCAGGGAUUGAACCCAGGCUCUUGGCAGUGAAAGCACAGAAUCCUAAGCACUGGACAGCCAGGGAAUUUCUGUACAUUAAGAUUCUCUUGAAACUGAAGGUUUGCUCUGUCUCCUUGAUGGUGGAAUAUGUACAUAAAUUAUUUGGAAUAAUUCUCUAUGGGAGUUUGGUCUCUUCUCCCUCAUUUAUUUAAUUAUUCAACCAUUUUAAUAAAUAAGUGGACUCAAUACUUA